AAACCGCUGGUGGUUGUGCCGCGCGUGUGUGCGCGCCUCCUUACCCGUCCGCUUCUCCGGUCUCCCCUCGGCACGUGCACACACGCACAGGUGCCAGCACGCCGAGACACCGCAGCCGCAAGCUACACGGCGGAGGGUGAACGAAGAAGCAAAACAAAACAGGCGAGGGACAUUCAUGGACGGUGCCCUUUUCAUUGGCAUCCUCACCUUUUCUGAUACCGUGGCUGCCUGUGCUGCGACUGCAGCGGUCAAGCACGCAUCCGCAACGAAAGUUCUUGUGUGGCACCACCUCCUUGUAUUGUCUUCCAGUUAAACUGCUUAACGCCUUGUAAUCUCUGCCCCCUUCACCCGCCCCAUUUCACCUCACGCACUGCCCUUGGGGGCACGUAUCCUUGUUCUUUCUUUUGCGCUCUCUUCCUAUUACACACAUCUCUCUAUAUACAUCUAUAUCUGUAUCUAUAUCUGGAGGGAGGGGAGUGUAGAGGGAGAGAGAGGAAGAGAUACUCAGUAUAUCUGCGUCUUUUUCGGAGUUGGCGACAGUGUGCUCUUGCUGCAUCGCUGCGGGCUGGAUAUCUGUUCUUCUUCCUUUCUUCUGUUUGUUGUGCUCCUUUUCGCGCUCCGUGUGUUCGCGUGCUUUCUUUUCGUGCGUGUAUGCGUUUUUGUGUUUGUGUGUGUGUGCCACCGCGUCCGUCUUUUGAUUGCGGGUGACACGCGUACUCUCUCCUGCUCCGCCUCCCCCCCCCUCUCACUCGCUCGCUUGCUCUGUGUUUUACGACUGCGCUCCUACACCUUUCGUCUUCCUCAUCUUCGUCUUAUGUUGUUGGCGGUGCGCGCGAGGUUGCCAUCUUUGAUGGAUGUGUCGUUCUCUUCGGCUCUCGUGCUUGCUCAAAUUUGGUUCGGCUUGACGGGCAGGUGUUGCAAGCGUCACUAUCUUCUCCCUCGCUCCUCCUGCCUCUUCUCUGUUUCUCUCGUGUCAGCUGCCUUGGCCACCCUAGCUUCCGCACCAACAUUAUCGCGUGUACCAGCAUCGACGGCAGUGGCAGCAGGAGAGGCAGUCCCUGCGGUGGUGCUCACCCUCGCUCAGGCUGCUUCCUGCGGCUGCCCUUGCGCGUGUGCCUUCUCUUUCUCGAGUCUUGCGCACUCAAGGACGCCUUUUCUCACGACUUACCGUGUUGGGUUGGCUUUGUCGCAUCACGAUGGAGCCUCUUCCCCGGAACACGCCGUCGCUCUGCAGCUUCGAGUGCAGCUUUCCUCGGUCGCUGAUUCUCUUCCUACAGAGUGCGCCGCCAACCAUUGUGCUGAGCGCCUUUCAGGCUGACUGCGAGAGUCAGGGUGUGGCCUGGUGCAGCGCUGAGGCACAGAUGCUCGCUGUGGAAUGGUUUGUGCGGCACCCCGUCGUGAAGAAGUACCCGCCGCGUCGUCGAAUGGUGCGAGCCUUGCUCAAGGCGUACAUAAACUCGGUAGAGGAGCAGUACGCUGCCGACUACGCGCUGUCCUCCACGUCGAGCGAGGACCCAGUGCAGACGGAGUUGAUGGAGGAGUUUAUUCGGGUAAGCGUCUUCGGGGGGGCCAGUGAGCAGGGGUUUUGCUUCAAGACAUUCUACAACCCGUUUGCUAGUGCGCCAGACACCCCUGCCAUCACGAGCGCGCCUGCCACCUCAACACCGCCUUCUGGCCCGUCGAUGCCACUGUCUGCGAUUCCGACGCCGUCACAGGUGCACUCCGUCCCCCCCGGCUCCUCACCGCGUGCCUCGUUGUCUCCUGAGAUGCACACGGGCAGCUCUCAGCGGUCUCUAAACUCCCACAGCGAACCCACACACACCCUUUCCCCCCAUGGCAUGCCGCCGUGCAUUCUGGUCAACGACGACUCGAAGGUGCUUCUGCCCAUGGUGUCCGUACGCUCUCCACCCACAUCGCCGUCGCAGCGGUCGCCGAGGCACCACCAGCACCAGCAGCAGCGUCAGCAGGUGCCGCUGCCGCCACAUCCACCAGCACCAACCCCAGCCUCUGCCGCCGCCGCUGCUGCUGCUGUGCGGCCGCUUGAUCAGUUCAGCAGCAUCCGUGUCUCCUGUGAGCAGUUCUCCAACGUGGGCCUCUCGCUCUGGCCAGCCGCCUUUGUCAUGAUUCAGCUGCUCGCGCAGGAGCUGAAAGGGCAGACGCACAUGCUGGCGGACGUUCUCGGCCUCCCGCGCGCGACGAACAGUACAUCGAACAGCAGUGCAUCCCCGGCGCCACUGCUGGCGACAUCAAACGGGCUGCACCCGCACACCAUGCCGACCCCACUGUCACUGGGCCCUACGGCUAGCUGUAGCCUGCGCAGCAGCAAUGACGGCAGUGCCGGCAGCAGUAGUGGUACAAAUGUGUGCAGCAGUCCGUUGCGCAUCCUGGAGCUUGGCGCGGGGGUCGGCCUCACGCCGGUGUACCUGCACCAUAUGAAGGAGUACCAGCAGCACGUCGCGUCCUUCCUCGCCACGGAUUACCAGGAGUCCAUCGUUGACAACAUGCGUUUCAACAUGACCGAAAACGGCAUCCGCCUUGUCUCCGAGUCGCUGGCUGCCAAGCGUGGGCUGGAGAGGGGUCCGACGCCGCCGCUUCAUCGCGCGGCGUUGCUCGACUGGCUGAACCACGCCGAUAACGAGGAAAUGUUCAUGAAGGACGAGGUGGACGUGACCCUCGUGGCCGACUGUAUCUACGACACCGACGUCAUUCCUGCACUGGUCGACACAAUUCACCUGGCUCUCACCGCGCGCAGCACGGCGCCGUACACGUCGGGCACCCUAAAAAAAAAGCGUUGCUGCAUCGUUGUGCAGACUCACCGGCAGGAUACAACCAUGCAGAAGUUUUUUUCCUCUGUACGCACGUUUGGGCAAGUGCGCAGCUACAACCUUGUCCGCCAAGUGGUCGGGUCGUUGCGUAUCAGCGAAGACCACAGCGGCGACGACGGCGGCUGUGUUCCACUCGGUGGUUGGGACCGGCAGGCGCAGUUACUCAACCCCGACCAGGUUGUCUGCGCGUUGAUGCCGGAUGUCAUCCUUGAGGACGGGUCUAUGCGCUCUGCUAGCGGGCAGUGGCAUGACAGCGGCGCGAAUGAGACGGCGACGGCGGCUGAAGCACUGCUCGCGGAUGGGAUGAUUGGACCUUUCUACACCUCGAUGGUGGGGCUGAUUGGCGUGCACGUGAUUACCUUGAAGGCAGCCAAAGUGGCCAGGUAGAAGGGGUUGGCGCGCUUUUUAAGCCACGCCGUUCUCGGAUGGACGGAGGAAGGGAAAGCUGUGGGGUACGUGUGUGUGUGUGGUGAGGGGGCGAUGGUGGCGGAGGGUCCAGGGAGACGCGAUGCCCAUCAGCUCUCAGGCAUAUGCGCUUGGGCUCGAGUAGCGUUUUGGCGCAGCUGUGCGCACUCCUCUAUUGUACUGAGGCAGCGCUGGUACGACAGGUCGUUCUCGCCCACUCUUGCCUUCGUUUUGAGCACGCACUGAUCAAUCACUCAUUUUGUGUUUGGCAUUAAGCGCACCGCAUCAAAAGAAAAGUAAGAGUAGGCCAUAAUCCGUGCAGACGUGCCUAGAGGUGAAACGACGCGGUAGCCAAGCGCGCAUGCACCAUCACAAGUGCAUAUCCGAG
rnacentral:misc_RNA from 1 species